CGAAAGCCUGACGGAGCAACGCCGCGUGUGGGAAGAAGGCUCUUGGGCUGUCAACCACUUUUCUCAGGGAAGAAGUCCUGACGGUACCUGAGGAAUCAGCCUCGGCUAACUCCGUGCCAGCAGCCGCGGUAAUACGGAGGAGGCAAGCGUUAUCCGGAAUUACUGGGCGUAAAGCGUUCGUAGGGGGCUCGUCAAGUCUGCUGUCAAAGGUCGGAGCUCAACUCCGGUUCGGCAGUGGAAACUGGUGGGCUAGAGGGCGACAGGGGUAGAGGGAAUUCCCAGUGUAGCGGUGAAAUGCGUAGAGAUUGGGAAGAACACCGGUGGCGAAAGCGCUCUACUGGGUCGCACCUGACCCUCAGGGACGAAAGCUAAGGUAGCG
rnacentral:rRNA from 1 species